rnacentral:rRNA from 1 species
AUUGAACGCUGGCGGCAUGCUUUACACAUGCAAGUCGAACGGCAGCGCGGGGCAACCUGGCGGCGAGUGGCGAACGGGUGAGUAAUAUAUCGGAACGUACCCAGAAGUGGGGGAAACGGUAGCAAAAGUUCGCUUAAUACCGAAUCGGAUCGCGGAUGGAAGGAGGGGGACGGCAGGGCUUUUGGCUUUUGAGCCGGCGAUAUCUGGUUAGCUAGUUGGUGAGGUAAAGGCUCACCAAGGCGACGAUCAGUAGCUGGUCUGAGAGGACGACCAGCCACACUGGAACUGAGACACGGUCCAGACUCCUACGGGAGGCAGCAGUGGGGAAUUUUGGACAAUGGGCGCAAGCCUGAUCCAGCAAUGCCGCGUGAGUGAAGAAGGCCUUCGGGUUGUAAAGCUCUUUUGUCAGGGAAGAAACGGUAGAGGCUAAUAUCCUUUGCUAAUGACGGUACCUGAAGAAUAAGCACCGGCUAACUACGUG